CCCCUAGAUGUUCUGGGCCGCACGCGCGCUACACUGAACAGUUCAACAAGUCUUAACCUUGGCCGAUAGGUCUGGGUAAUCUUUGAACGCUGUUCGUGAUUGGGAUAGACCUUUGCAAUUAUGGGUCUUCAACGAGGAAUUCCUAGUAAACGCAAGUCAUCAGCUUGCAUUGAUUACGUCCCUGCCCUUUGUACACACCGCCCGUCGCACCUACCGAUUGAAUGGUCCGGUGAAUUAUUCGGACUGUAACGUGUUCAGUUCCUGGAUGCAGUUAUGGGAAGUUUUGUGAACCUUACCACUUAGAGGAAGGAGAAGUCGUAACA
rnacentral:rRNA from 1 species